rnacentral:tRNA from 1 species
CAAGGAAUAGUUUAUUAAAAUAUUAAUUUUGGAGAUUAAAGAUAGAAAAAUUUUUCUUUCCUUGA